rnacentral:rRNA from 1 species
AUUGAACGCUGGCGGCAUGCUUUACACAUGCAAGUCGAACGGCAGCGCGGGCUUCGGCCUGGCGGCGAGUGGCGAACGGGUGAGUAAUACAUCGGAACGUGCCCAGUAGUGGGGGAUAGCUCGGCGAAAGCCGGAUUAAUACCGCAUACGACCUGAGGGUGAAAGCGGGGGAUCUUCGGACCUCGCGCUAUUGGAGCGGCCGAUGGCAGAUUAGCUAGUCGGUGGGGUAAAGGCCUACCAAGGCGACGAUCUGUAGCUGGUCUGAGAGGACGACCAGCCACACUGGGACUGAGACACGGCCCAGACUCCUACGGGAGGCAGCAGUGGGGAAUUUUGGACAAUGGGCGAAAGCCUGAUCCAGCAAUGCCGCGUGUGUGAUGAAGGCCUUCGGGUUGUAAAGCACUUUUGGCGGGAACGAAAAGGACUGUGCCAAUACCACGGUUCGAUGACGGUACCCGCAGAAUAAGCACCGGCUAACUACGUG